AGCUCCCUGCAGGGACCUCUCAGCCCUGCAGGGGAGCCCAGGCUAUGUGCCAGGCCUGGCCUUGCUGUCAGCUUUCUAAGCCAGUCACAAACAUUCUCCUCUCAACUUUAUAAUGGAUGCCCCCCAGCCUCCUCUCCCCUCUCAGGGUGCUCCUGAGGCUAUGAGCAGCUGGCAGUUCCCUGUCUGAGAGGUCCUUCGUACCGCAGGAGAGGCAGCUCUCACCUGAAGGCCUCCCUGGACACCGGUCUCAACUUUGUGUGUUACCAGUUAUGGAGAAUUAUUUUUAGUGAGUUACACUCUGUUAGGGCCAAACACAAGGAGGAAAGAGUGACUGAAUACUGCUCUGAGUCAGUGACUGUGACAAGACUGUUUUUUUCUUCUUCCCUGUUGCAGGCCUGAUCUUUUGGCCAGAAGGAGAUUAAAAAGAUGCCCCUCAAGAUGGCUGUGCCUGUCAGCUGCAUGGAGCUUCGUUCAAGUAUUUUCUGAGCCUGAUGGAUUUACAGUGAUCUUCAGUGGUCUGGGGAAUAACGCUGGUGGAACCAUGCACUGGAAUGACACACGCCCGGCACAUUUCAGGAUACUAAAAGUGGUUUUAAGGGAGGCUGUGGCUGAAUGCCUCAUGGAUUCUUACAGCUUGGAUGUCCAUGGGGGACGAAGGACUGCAGCUGGCUGAGAGGGUUGAGAUCUCUGUUUACUUAGAUCUCUGCCAACUUCCUUUGGGUCUCCCUAUGGAAUGUAAGACCCCGACUCUUCCUGGUGAAGCAUCUGAUGCACGUUCCAUCCGGCGCUCAGCUGGGCUUGAGAAUCAAGAGAUGCAUAUGCAGGUUUGUUACAGAGGUAUAUGGGAUGCGGUUGAAGUUUGGAGUAUGAUUGAACUCAUCACGCAGGACUUCGCAGGUGAGCAGUAACGGAAAUCAGCCCCGUUUAUUCCUCCCAGCACCUGCCUUAUCCAACUCCCCACGCUGUGGCUGAGUCCCAGCCUGCUAUGGAAGCAUCACUGGACUCCCAUUGAACUCUGUGCAGAUUCGCUGUUCGUAGACAUGGUACCUGAUGGACACCAAGCUACGUACAGCUUCAAGGCCCCUUCUUUCUUUGCUAAUAAAAAAUAAAAAAUAAAAACAUAA
ensembl:lncRNA PVT1 Pvt1 oncogene